UAACCCAAUGAAACAAACAAUGAGUCUAGAAAACAUUGGAAAAAUAAAUAUAAAAAGGAAAAAGGAAAAAUAAUAAGAAGGGCAGCUCACACCUGAGAGACUCGGGAAGACCAGUGUUUGCCGAGCAGCCUGUCUGUGUGUUAGCCAAUGUUGUGGUGAGCGGUUCUGUUUGGCAUUCCCGCGGCUCCUCGGAAUUGGCACCUCCUUGGCACCCCCCUAGCACCUCCCGUGGCACCCCGCCGUGGCACCCCUACUCCUACUCGUCCCAGGGCGCCUCACUUCCCUGUUUGUAAACCCGCACCGCCUCGCACAAAGGGAACGUGAGGAGCAGACUGGAGCUGGGAAGGCUGUGAGGAGGAGGCCAAGUAACUACCACCACCACCACCACCACCACUACCACCACCACCACCACCCUCAACCACACCUGUCUUACGGCCAUAUUCCAUUUAUUCGACAUAUUAUAGAGGAAAGCUAAAUUAAAAGUCCCCUCCACUUGUAUUAUUUGACAUUAUAUAAAGGUCAGCUGAGUUAAAGGCCUGUAUUUUAGAAACGUCUUCCUCUCUCAUCACGACAAUUUUUCAAGUCCCCGCAGACAACUAGCCAGGUUUUCAAGACAGUUCCUCCUUAUCAUCAACUAGAAAUCUUGCUAAUCCAUCACCGCGAGCAUAAAAAUAGUCUUAAAAUCAUGAGUAUCUUCAACGAGAGCCUUUGGAAUUAGUUAUCGUUUUUGAAUACGGGUCUUAGUUGCAUCUACACCCAGGCAGCUGUUGUAUAUAUUCACUGUUUAUUCUUUGUACCUAAUAGUAACAGCAAUAAAUAUUUACUUGAUUA